CACACGGCACACCACCCAACAUGAUCGCAAGAAAGGGCUGGUGGUUCUUAUCUGCAAGGUCUGCUGUGCAGCGGAGAAGACGGAGGCAGACGGGGCUGUGCCCUGCGAAGUUGAAGAACUUCCUUUUCCAGAGAGAGUGAAAUAGCCACAUAGUCAAUUACACUUAGGCCCUGAAGGAUUUACUGGCCCACCAGAUGCCUUGGGAAGCCACAGAGCCAUGAGAUGAAGGCAUGCCCCUUUCCUGUCAUUGCUCCCCUGCAACUGGUUUUUGAAGACAUCCUACCUCUGAACAUGGAGCUGGUUUGUACACCAAGCCCACAUCUUCUCCAGAAAAACCACACAACCAAGACAUCAACAGAAAAGAAAAACUUGGCUAGCUGCUCACCCUAACUCUUAAAAUAAGGAUGUAGAGAGAAGAAGCAUCAGUCAACUGAAGAUCUAUCAGCAGACUUCUAACCUUUGCAAAACAGGAACGUAACACCGACAGCUAAUACAAAAGCUAUGGAUAGUGACCAUAGAAAAUGUUUCUUCCUCACAUUCCAAACCGGUCCACCCUUUAUUAGCCAAAACACUCACUGCUGGCCAUCUGUCCAUCUGUUUCAGGUUUUAAAAUAUUUGAUAUAGCAAACGCUUUUAAAGAAAAUGCUUUAAAAUGGCCUGCCACCUACAUAUGCUUUAUCUUGAGUUUGCACGUGUUCUGUUCAGUGCCUUGUGUUCUCUGCCUCAUGUGUCCCCCCCACCCCCGAACAUUUUCUAUAUAUCUAGGCAGAUAUCCUUUUGGCUCAUUGUUCAGUGGUAAAGUGCAUGCUUCCAGGGGUGCUUCCAGGGGUGACCUUUUAAUGAGGCACGGUCAGGCAGUUGCCUCAGGCAGCAGAUUCCUGAGGUCCCAGGUCCAUGCAUGUUGGAAGUUAAAGGUCUUUGCACUGUCUCUUUGUCUCAGACAGUGGAGGACAGACUAGUAAGUCAGAGGGCUAGAGAGUCAAGACAUUGGUCAUCACUUCUCCACUGCUCUGCUGCUAUCCCUUUGAAAUGUAGAUUGCUACUCUUAGGGAUUCAACUUCCUUCCUCUUUCUCUCUUCCCUACCUGCCCGCCUACCUUGCAACAUGGCAAGCCUCUCUCCCUGCACCAUAUGUGCAGAGAGGAUGCAGAAUCCAUCUGCAUCCAGCUAGAUAGAUAGAUUAGAGAUCCUAACUCCUCACUUUCCUAUCUAGAAUGGAGUUCCUUAAUAAAUGCCUUUUAUAUUGAUUUGAAACUAUGAAUUGGCUCCAAGUUACUUUACUCUCAGCAUAAACGCAUGCCUAACUAAACUACCGCUGUGUUGUGCCUCUGUGCACUCUGCUAUAAUGAGAAAGUGAUUCUUUCACCACAGAGAAUUUCCAACAAUGCAAACGUUACAGGGUGUGCCUCUCCUUGUAAUUCUUGCAAAGCUUGCAAGAAGCAUGUAAAGAGAAGAAUAGGCUGCUUGCAAGCUCCACCCUUCCUCCCUCCUUCCCUGCCCCCCCAUGUAUUUUAAAGCUUGC